GUCGCUGCAAAAUCAGCGACCGGGCGUAGGAACCCGAUUGAAUCAAGGCGCAACAGCGCCCCCAUUACGAUUGCAGGCGCUUUUUUU
rfam:Pseudomonas syringae pv. pisi str. 1704B contig85.3, whole genome shotgun sequence.